UCGAGGGGCAGCACAAGGUAGCAAUAUCUGGUGGCGACCGGCGCACGGGUGAGUAACACGUAUGCAACCUACCUGUAAGAGGGGAAUAACCCGGAGAAAUCCGGACUAAUACCGCAUAACACCACAGAACUGCAUGGUUUUGUGGUUAAAUAUUUAUAGCUUACAGAUGGGCAUGCGUAUGAUUAGCUAGUUGGUGAGGUAACGGCCCACCAAGGCAUCGAUCAUUAGGGGUUCUGAGAGGAAGGUCCCCCACACUGGUACUGAGAUACGGACCAGACUCCUACGGGAGGCAGCAGUGAGGAAUAUUGGUCAAUGGGCGAGAGCCUGAACCAGCCAAGUCGCGUGAAGGAAGAAGGUUCUAUGGAUUGUAAACUUCUUUUGUAAGGGAAUAAAGUGCGCUACGUGUAGCGUUUUGUAUGUACUUUACGAAUAAGGAUCGGCUAACUCCGUGCCAGCAGCCGCGGUAAUACGGAGGAUCCAAGCGUUAUCCGGAUUUAUUGGGUUUAAAGGGUGCGUAGGCGGACCUGAAAGUCAGUGGUGAAAGUUUGCAGCUUAACUGUAAAAUUGCCAUUGAAACUCUGGGUCUUGAGUGUAAAUGAGGUAGGCGGAAUGUGUUGUGUAGCGGUGAAAUGCUUAGAUAUAACACAGAACACCAAUUGCGAAGGCAGCUUACUAGGAUACAACUGACGCUGAGGCACGAAAGCGUGGGGAUCAAACAGGAUUAGAUACCCUGGUAGUCCACGCAGUAAACGAUGAAUACUAACUGUAUGCGAUAUACUGUAUGUGGUAAAGCGAAAGCGUUAAGUAUUCCACCUGGGGAGUACGUUCGCAAGAAUGAAACUCAAAGGAAUUGACGGGGGCC
rnacentral:rRNA from 1 species